rnacentral:rRNA from 1 species
UACAGGGGGUGCAAACGUUGCUCGGAAUUAUUGGGCGUAAAGCGCGCGUAGGCGGCUACUUAAGUCGGAUGUGAAAGCCCCUGGCUUAACUGGGGAAGUGCACCCGAAACUGAGUAGCUAGAGUACGAAAGAGGGUCGCGGAAUUCCCGGUGUAGAGGUGAAAUUCGUAGAUAUCGGGAGGAACACCGGCGGCGAAGGCAGGUCUCUGGGCCGAUACUGACGCUGAGGAGCGAAAGCGUGGGGAGCGAACAGG